UGGGGAAUUUUGGACAAUGGGCGAAAGCCUGAUCCAGCAAUGCCGCGUGUGUGAAGAAGGCCUUCGGGUUGUAAAGCACUUUUGUCCGGAAAGAAAUCCUCUGGGUUAAUACCUCGGGGGGAUGACGGUACCGGAAGAAUAAGCACCGGCUAACUACGUGCCAGCAGCCGCGGUAAUACGUAGGGUGCAAGCGUUAAUCGGAAUUACUGGGCGUAAAGCGUGCGCAGGCGGUUUUGUAAGACGGAUGUGAAAUCCCCGGGGCUUAACCUGGGAACUGCAUUCGUGACUGCAAGGCUAGAGUAUGGCAGAGGGGGGUAGAAUUCCACGUGUAGCAGUGAAAUGCGUAGAGAUGUGGAGGAAUACCGAUGGCGAAGGCAGCCCCCUGGGCCAAUACUGACGCUCAUGCACGAAAGGCGUGGGGAGCAAAACAGGAUUAGAUACCCUGGUAGUCCACGCCCUAAACGAUGUCAACUAGUUGUUGGGGAUUCAUUUCCUUAGUAACGUGAGCUAACGCGUGAAGUUGACCGCCU
rnacentral:rRNA from 1 species